rnacentral:lncRNA from 1 species
GCGUGAAAAGUUGUUUCAUGCAUCCCUCCGUUCUCUCUUGCCUCCUUAGAAUUCUCCAUGGAUUAAUUGGGAUUUAAUUGAUAGAAGUAAUGACGCCAUGAGAUGGCAUGUGAUUUAUGGAGUCUAUGACUCAUGGGUUUUCAUCCAUGCCCAUCUGAAUUUCUCCUUGCAUGAAAGUGUUUCACGCACCAAAGGAGGAGUUAAGACUCUUAGGGAUUAAUGUGGAUGUUCACUAGGGGUCAUUAGAUGGCUCCCCUUUGGAUUAACUCCAUUUAAUGAGGUUUG